UGAUGGUGAUGGUGGUGGAGGAGACUUGUAGUGGUAGGGGUGCUUAGGUGGUGAUGGUGAGGGUGGUGGAGGAGACUUGUAGUGGUAGGGAUGCUUAGGUGGUGAUGGUGAGGGUGGUGGAGGAGACUUGUAGUGGUAGGGGUGCUUAGGUGGUGAAG